rnacentral:lncRNA from 1 species
ACCCUGUUGCUAUUAUCACCAACCAAGUGAUCAAAAGUAUGCCCAGUACUCCAAAAUUAUUCGGCACCCUGCCGCUAUUAUCACCAACCAGGUGAUCAAAAGUACACCCAAUACUUCACAAUUAUUUGACACCCUUCUGCUAUUAUCACUAACCAGGUGAUCAAAAGUACGCCCAGUACUCCCAAAAUUAUUCGGCAGCCUGCCGCUAUUAUCACCCACUAGGUGAUCAAAAGUACGUCCAGUACUCCAAAAUCAUACAUGACCAUCACUCAUGUCAAUCAUACAUAAACAUUCAUGACCAUCACUCAUGUCAAUCAUACAUAAACAUUUAUAACCAUCAUUCAUGUCAACAUUCAUGAGCAUCGCUCAUGUCAACAUUCAUGAGCAUCACUCAUGUCAACAUCCAUGAGCAUCACUCAUGUCAAUCAACAUAAACAUUCAUGAGCAUCACUCAUGUCAAUCAGCUUCGAAAACUUCAUUUACAGAGCUCCAGCUUCGAGAGCUCCAGCUUUAAAAGCUUCAUUUACAAAAGCUCCAGCUUCAAAGCUUCACUUGCAAAGCUUCACCUACAAAGCUUCAGUACAGGGUAUACAAAUACCGCCUCCAAACAACCGCCACUUCGGCCCAUACAUGGAUUCAAUUUGAAGUCUCUAGCCAACAGACUCUAUUGACCGAAGACUUGGGGGACUACAUUAUGUACCAUAUAUUGGGCCUCAACUGGGCCUCAUGAAAGAUACUUAGGGGACUUAGCCCAUUAUUUAUGUAUUGAGGAGCGAGCCUUUAUUCUAUAAAAGGGACUCCCUCACUUUCAUUAGAAAGCACCCAUUAUUCAUGUACUGAGGAUCGAGCCCUUAUUUUAUAAAAGGGACUCCCUCACCUUCAUUAGAGAGCAUUGCCGCCUGCUGAGCAACCGCCUCGCCGCGAGCAUCAGUCCUAACCCAUCACUUAUGUAUUGAGGAGCGAACCUUUAUUCUAUAAAAGGGACUCCCUCACCUUCAACGCCACAAGCCGAGCUAACCAAGGCAACAUAAGCCACAAGCCGAGCAGCCUCGCAACAUGUGCUACUUAUAGUUGAGCAUCAUUUCACUUUGAGCACCGCCUCAUAUCAAGUCUCAGUUCAAGACGACAUCUAGUUACUUCAGCCCACACAUGGACUGAAUUUCAAGUCUCCAGCUAAAAGACUCUCUUGACUGAAGACUUGGAGGACUAUUGUUUGUAACAUACUUAGGGCCUCCGUAUUUAGAUCUCGUAUAAAUACUCGGGGGACUCAAAUGUAAUUAUGUAAUAAAGAAAGGGGAAAAUAUGUAAUAAGUGAAGAGCCUUUAUUUUAUAAAAGGACCCCUCACUGUCCUCAUUAAGGGAGGCUAAUUCUUAGGCCUGAGAUUCCCAAAGCCUCUCACCCUCUCAAAGCCUCUCAUAUUCAUUACAGAAGCUAUCUCCCUCAUAAUCCUCUCAGAGAAAUACAAUAUCAGUGUGGACGUAGCCCAAACAUUGGGGUGAAUAUGUAAUAAGUGAUGAGCCCUUAUUCUAUAAAAGGACCCUUCACUCUCCUCAUUAAGGGAGGCCAAUUCUUAGGCCUGAGAUCCCCAAAGUCUCUCACCUUCUCAAAGCCUCUCAUAUUCAUUACAGAGGCUCUCUCCCUUAUAAUCCUCUAAGAGAAAUACAAUAUCAGUGUGGACGUAACCCAAACAUUGGGGUGAACCACGAUACAUCUUGUGUUCUUUACAUUUUCUGCAGAUUCACGGUCGGAUUUACGUUGUUCCAAGACCUUCAGUUUUGUGCAUCAACACAUCCGUUACAUUUUUCAUUUAUUGGUU